CCUACGGGGUGCAGCAGUGGGGAAUAUUGCACAAUGGGGGGAACCCUGAUGCAGCGACGCCGCGUGAGUGAAGAAGUAUUUCGGUAUGUAAAGCUCUAUCAGCAGGGAAGAAAAUGACGGUACCUGACUAAGAAGCCCCGGCUAACUACGUGCCAGCAGCCGCGGUAAUACGUAGGGGGCAAGCGUUAUCCGGAUUUACUGGGUGUAAAGGGAGCGCAGACGGCUGUGCAAGUCUGGAGUGAAAGGCGGGGGCACAACCCCCGGACUGCUCUGGAAACUGUAAAGCUGGAGUGCAGGAGAGGUAAGCGGAAGUCCUAGUGGAGCGGUGAAAUGCGUAGAUAUUAGGAGGAACACCAGUGGCGAAGGCGGCUUACUGGACUGCAACUGACGUUGAGGCUCGAAAGCGUGGGGAGCAAACAGGAUUAGAUACCCCGGUAGUC
rnacentral:rRNA from 1 species